UGCAUCUGUUAUGCGGCGGAAUGAAGCUUAUUCGGUCAUUGUGGAUGGAUGGGCACAACAUUGUGAUGAUUUGAGGACCGCAUAGAUUGACAGGUAUGAGUUUUGCUAAUGAAAUUUAUAUGUACUAUGCAGACUUUUGACAUUUGAGGAUCGUAUCAAUUGCUGGACAGUGUAUAAACUCUGGACUCCAGAGUUGCGUUUGAUGAAGUAGGCGGUGGUAAUAUUCAGCUCAUCAAUAUUGUGCGCCUCUGCAAUCUCUGUUGUUGAACACAAACUGAGGGUGAUGUUCAACAAACAUUUAAGUCCUGAACAUAGAGUUGCUCUACUUUCCCUGCGAGAAUACUCUUGGAUUCAUGAUGCAUUAAUGUAGAAUAGACCUGAAUCCUUCAAAGUUUA